rnacentral:rRNA from 1 species
UACGUAGGGUGCGAGCGUUGUCCGGAAUUAUUGGGCGUAAAGAGCUUGUAGGCGGUUUGUCGCGUCUGCUGUGAAAAUCCGGGGCUCAACCCCGGACUUGCAGUGGGUACGGGCAGACUAGAGUGUGGUAGGGGAGACUGGAAUUCCUGGUGUAGCGGUGAAAUGCGCAGAUAUCAGGAGGAACACCAAUGGCGAAGGCAGGUCUCUGGGCAGUUACUGACGCUGAGGAGCGAAAGCAUGGGUAGCGAACAGGAUUAGAUACCCU